rfam:TPA: Bos taurus chromosome 12, whole genome shotgun sequence.
UCCCUGGUAGCUUAGACGGUAAAGAAUCUGCUUCCAAUGCAGGAAACCUGGGCUCGAUCCCUGGGUAGGGAA